AAUUAAAAUUUUCAAAUGAUAAACUUAGAAAUGUGCUAUUUUGGUCAUUUUAGUUUUUGAGUGCUAUUUUUGUGAUAUAAAUUUAGAAAGAUGCUAUUUUGGAGAUUUGCCCCUAUUUAUAUUUGUUGGUCAAUUUCCAUAUGCAAUCUUAUUAACUUGGUAUUCAUACGUAUUACGUAAUCACAUAUAAAGACAGAAACUCAAUCAAUACAUACAUACAAAAUCAUAUAGGUGAGAAGCAGACACGUUUGGGCCACGGCAAAUACAAAACGUGGCGCCGUGUAACUCUUUUAGCGCUCCAUGGAUUUGAAUUAUUGUAUUUAAAUAGUUUCAUAAGAUUUUUAUUUAUUUCGCUUCUUAUGCGAUGUUUGACAAAUAUUUGCUUGAUCAUGAAACAAUAUCUGCUUCGGAUAUCUAAUCUAACAAUAUUAAAAGAAGAAUAUAAAGCCCUCUCAGCUAUGCCACGUCAGAUCGGAAAAUCAAGCUAAUCAGAUAAUUUGAAAUUGACACGCCACAUCCUCUUUGUCGACAUUGAAUUUCAAGUAGCCAAAUGUUUUGGGUUUAUCUAAUUUGGUUUUGACCCAUUCUAAACUCACCUUACUCCUUCAUUGUCUCCAACUCUUCUCCUUCGUCACUAUCAUUUCCACUCUCUCCAAAUCUCCGUUACUUUGCAAUAAUCACCCACUCUGAAUCAUUGAUUCCUGCUCUUGACAUCUUUAUUCAUACUAGAUGUAUCCUUCCACCUCCCUAUUUUUUUCCCUCCUAUUAACACUUUAAAAAGGCCGAUCUAUUGCCUCAAACAAUUUAGCAGCAACAAACGCUUCCAAACGGACUUCUACACUUCACUUUCAUCGUUCUUAUACGAGAAAUCCAUAAAACCACAUCAGUCAAUGGGUAUGAAAUGGACAUGCUUGUUGGGUUUAGAACCGCUUCUCAUGGACGACAGGUAUGUAAUAUUAUUUCUAAUGAUAUUAUUAGCUUCCCCAGAUUCUAAUUCAAUAAUCCCUGCAAUUCAUGGCAAAGAAAACGUCCAGAACAACGGGGAAGGCAUCGGCGGCUCUGUUCUUCAGUGAUGUCACCCCUGGAUUGGGAUAGUCCAAGAUGCGAUUCCGUCUACUUCAUUUCUGGGAAGCAGUGACCAAUCGGAGAAGAUUAUGAGAAUCCAUUUGUAGGUUCAGAUUCCUCAUUCACGCUACUUUCAGUAUGUUACUCUAAGCCUUUCAUAAAUAGUGACUAAGGUCUCCCUACUUGAUCUAUGUAGAGACUCAAUCUUUAUUUUUGAUGUAUGAGAAGACUUAUGUCUGUCUUUGUUUCCUUUCCUCAAAGCACCGACUAUGGUAGUGUAACAAAUUUCUUAGUGCGUGUUUGUUUGAUCAUUCUUAUGCAGUAUACAUUUGAAUUAUUUUAUGUUUACUGUACGCUGAUGUUUUCAAAUUCUUUCUUUCAUUUUGACUGCAGAAAAAACCCCACAACACCCAAGCUAGCUUUACUUUGAAAGGUUUGGGUUUCUUUCCCUUCUAUUGUUUAUAUAUGCUUACUUUUUGUAGACACUGAAGACAAUCAAAUGACUGUCUCCUUGGCUAGGAUGAUAUUUGUUCCGUGCAACCAUUCAGUCAUACCAAUGUUAUAGAUCUUACUCCAAUUUUCGUAAGCCAAUAUGCUAUGGAUAGGUAAUAAUGGCAUCUUAAUGGCCUUUGGAAAUUUCAGUCUGACAUUUUAGACGUUCAAGCUUAUACUUUUCUGAACACAGCCAUGAUGUGGAUGUUCUGCAUUUGGUUCAAAAGAAACGUAAAGAAGGCCAAGAAGUUAGGCGAGUAUAACAGCUGGGUUGGAGAGUAAUCGAAGAAGACUAUGAGAAGCCACUUCCAGCAAGUUAAUCAAAGUCUCUUUCAUGUCUCCCUGCUGCAUCUAUGUGGAAUCUCAAUCUUUAGUUACGCCGUAGGUGAUGCAUGGAGAAGACUAUGUCUGUCUUGGUUUCCUUUUUGGAGAAAAAAUCAAGAUUCAAGAGUGGCUUAUAUAUUCGAUGUUUCACGCUUUCCUCCAAGCACUGAGUACAUCAAGUGUAACAGAUUGCUUAGUGCACAUUCUUUUUCUUAUACUCUCAUAGAAGAUAUCUCAAACUCAUCGCCUUUGGAGCAUACAAUUAUAUCAAAAUCUGGCGGUGGACAACUAGAUCUGCUUAUCUUUGAUACAUCAUUUAAGGUUAACACAUAUCAUCCUUACGCAUUUAUAAAUUUGUAUGUUUUAUGUUUCAAACACUCUGCUGAUGUUUUCAGAUUCUUUCUUUGACUGUGACUGUAGACAUGAUCACUCAAACCCACUUACGUUUCCCACAUGUUAGUUUAAUUUGAAAGAUCGUUUUUUCUUAAUUUCAUGGUUUAUAUAUGCUUAUUUUUGUUUUGUGUAGAUACUAGAGACAGUCAAACGUCUGUGUGUUAAAAGAGGUCUUUUAGUCAGAAUGACGCACGAGUUUGAUCACCACAAGGACAACGAGUUUCUUGAAGAAUGGUAUAAAAGGAGGAAGGAGCGAGCAGACUUGCACCAGUCUGCUGGUAACCUUGCUACAGGAGACUACACUGCAGCAGCAGUGAAAAUCGCAGAGGUUCAUCAGAUUUCGUGAUCGUAUUCAUCUCGGUUAAUCAUGCAUGCUUCUUGGAAAUUGGAGAUGUGUAUCCGUCUAUGAUUCAUGCUAGGCCUGCUGUUCAAAUGGUGAAAGGUGGUGACGCACUUGGUCAACAGUACAACACUCCACACUCUGAGUCUCUCGCUCCUAGCCUUAACAUUCAUAGUUAGUAUCUUGUGCGGUGUCUCAGGAAAGUAUCGGUUUUAUGUAUGCUUCUUGACCUUCUCUAGAAAGUUUUGAUUUUAGGUACCUUUCCUUUUGUGUGGCGUUCCAGUCUUCGUAAAGACUAUCUAUGUUCUCUCAAAA